GACAGAUUAGUGCAUUAAAAAGGUGUUUUGCAGCAUCUUGAACAUGCUAGUGAAAGCCCAUUUCCAUUGGCUCCCUUUAUAGUUUUCCAGCUUCUGAAGCCUACCACAGACUCCUGUGAGCAGCCAUCCCUAUCUCCAAGGGUUGUUUGGUAAUGUUCUGUGUCUUUUUCCAGCACACACAAUCUCUUUUUGGGAGAUAGGUAAGCUUAUCUUCAAGAAAAGACCUGCAUUAGUAAGGUAAGAGAAGAUUGGAUUCUACUAUUGGAAUGAAGAUAAUUAAUAUUCAUCUCUGAAAGACAGAGGUGGAUGUGAGGAUGAUAAAACUGGUGUGCAAGACUGGAGAAACUGGUGCUGAAUAACUCAUGAAGAGAAUCCUGGGAUUUAGUAAUGACAUUGGGAAAUUUAAUUUCUUGCAUGAACCGUUCCCUGCAAACAGAGAAUAAGGUCCCAUCAAUUCCCCCUGGUAUGAGCACAAAGAAUAGCUCCCAGCAGUCUGUCACACUUGGGACAAAUGCAGGAUUAAUAUUGUGGUUUGUGUUGGCCUGUGCCAUGCCUUCCUCAUUGUCCCCUGAACCUCCAGGGGAUGGGAAUGUCUUAUUAAUUAAUUCUCUUAAUUCAAGCACCUGUGACUGAUUUAUACUCAGUCUAGGGUCUGAUCCUGCAGGGCAAGAGCUGACUUUGGUGAGGUGCACUGCUUUCCAAAUCCCCAGCAGAGGAAAAUUACUGGAUUUUAUGCUGAAACAGAAGCAGCGAGAGUAUUUGGAAAACCUCUGCUGGCUUUUCCCCAGCAUAGCUAAGGCAUGGCAUUUGUUACUCAUUGGUGCUACAGACUCACAACUCAGCCAAAAUUCACCUUCUAGGGAUGUAUAUAUGCUUGGUUUCAUCCAUGGGUGACAGCAUGAUCUGGAAGAAGAGGGGAGAAAAUGAAGUCAGGAGGAGAAGGGGAUUUGCUGUUCAAGGAGGCAGGGGAUGAAUCAUCCUUCUCACAGAGACGUGGUCUUUUGCCAAAGGCUUCAGCUGGUCCCCACCAGCUCUUUCAGCUUGGUGUGCUCUGUCCUCAGCUCUGCUGCAGUGGCCAGCCUGCUUCUAAUGCAGGAAACAGUUUGUCCUGGGAACAGUCCUAGCAAGGGCAUGCAUGCCCACAUCAAGGGCAGGCUGACAUUGUGGUCUCAUGGCUCUCUUUCAGGUGGUACCACAGCACGGGGUUAUACCUGGGAACGCAGUGGACACACAAACGGAGCCAGCAGCCAGGGUUUGGUGGUCCCUGGACAGAGAGCAGGAUUGCUCAGUGGUGUGUCCCAAGUGCUCCAAGCAGAAGUGAGCAGCUUUAAGGAAUGGUGGAAGUCUUAGCUAUCUGUGUACUGGGAAAAUGAAGCAUUUGGCUCUAAACAUGUGUGCUCCCAGAUGUUUGGAGUGGAAAGGCAGAAAGCACCACUGAAAAGGCUGAAGACCCACCACUCAUGCCCUGAAGGCCACUGUUACCAUCUGAGUGACCACACUAUGCCAAGAAGAGCAAAGUACAGAAUUAAGGUAAGAAUGGAAAGAUUCCAUGACAUACAGAUUUUAUAGGCAGUGUCAUUCAGCAGGUCAAAUUUUAAUUAAGUCUUGGGUCGUGGCAUCUCAGCUAUUCAGUAUUUUAAAAUUUGCCAGAUCUUUCUGGGAGCACACAGCUGCAAAUCAUGCUGGUUUGUUCCUACUGU
rnacentral:lncRNA from 1 species